GGUUGUGUGGUGUAAUGGUAGCACGUAUCGUUGUGGAUUUCAGCUUCAACGGCCCCGAUACAAUCGCGGUUCGAUUCCGUGCACAGCCA